rnacentral:rRNA from 1 species
GAUGAACGCUGGCGGCGUGCUUAAUACAUGCAAGUCGAGCGAAAGGACGAUAAGCUUGCUUCUCUGAUGUUAGCGGCGGACGGGUGAGUAACACGUGGAUAACCUACCUAUAAGACUGAGAUAACUUCGGGAAACCGGAGCUAAUACCGGAUAAUAUUUUGAACCGCAUGGUUCAAAAGUGAAAGACGGUCUUGCUGUCACUUAUAGAUGGAUCCGCGCUGCAUUAGCUAGUUGGUACGGUAACGGCUUACAAAGGCAACGAUGCAUAGCCGACCUGAGAGGGUGAUCGGCCACACUGGAACUGAGACACGGUCCAGACUCCUACGGGAGGCAGCAGUAGGGAAUCUUCCGCAAUGGGCGAAAGCCUGACGGAGCAACGCCGCGUGAGUGAUGAAGGUCUUCGGAUCGUAAAACUCUGUUAUUAGGGAAGAACAUAUGUGUAAGUAACUGUGCACUUCUUGACGGUACCUAAUCAGAAAGCCACGGCUAACUACGUG